rnacentral:tRNA from 2 species
UGCCCAAUAGCUCAAUGGUAGAGUAAUCGACUGUUAAUCGAUUGGUUCCUGGUUCGAGUCCAGGUUGGGCAGCCA